rnacentral:rRNA from 1 species
AUCCACUCUCAACUUCUGUGCACUAUCGCAUGUAGGGUUGGCUUUGUGAUGGUGGCUGGCUUCGCGGCUGGCCGUCGUUGUAUCGCCGCCUUAUGUGUUUCCUACUACAAACGAUUCAGUUAUGGAAUGUCUUUGUAUGCGGAUAACGCAACUAUAUACAACUUUCAGCAACGGAUCUCUUGGCUCUCGCAUCGAUGAAGAACGCAGCGAAAUGCGAUAAGUAAUGUGAAUUGCAGAAUUCAGUGAAUCAUCGAAUCUUUGAACGCACCUUGCGCUCCUUGGUAUUCCGAGGAGCAUGCCUGUUUGAGUCUCGUGGAAUCCUCAACCUCGCAGUUUUGUUACUGCAAGGCUUGGACUUGGAGGUCGUGUCGGCUCUCGUCAGUCGACUCCUCUGAAAUGCAUUAGUGCGGACGUUACCGGUCGCUUCAGCGUGAUAAUUAUCUGCGCUGCCGUCGUACUGGCAUGUCAAGUACGUGCUUCUAACCGUCCUUCGCGGGACAAUCACAUCGAAACUCUGAGCUCAAAUCAGGUAGGACUACCCGCUGAACUUAA